GCUUUCGAGCCACGCGAUGGUAGCAGUCGGCCGUCGAAAACCGCGAAACGCGUUCCGCGUUCCCGUGGAGGACCACCGGGAGAGCGAGAGGGCAGUUACGUUAGUGUCACGCUCCCGAAAAAGCCGCGCUUCCACCCGCAUCCUCGUUUUUCUCGUGCAUGUGCGCGGUGAUUCGUGGACGUGCUACUCGAUCGCCCGUUUUCACCCCCCCCCCCCUCCCCCCUCAAUCAUGCUCCACACGCACGUACGCUUACACUUGAUACUGACAUUCGACAGGGGAUUCGCGAACCAAAUCACGACAUACAACAACAACAACAGAAACAGAAGCAGCAACAUCGCCUGUGCCUCGAGGAUCGUGACAUCGUGCAUCGUCAAUCGUGCGAAUCAAUCGAACGCUGAACGCGAUCAGGAGAGGCUGUGACCUUGAAAGCUCACGUGCAACCGGGAUAUGCCCGAUUAGAGGCAGAGGGGAGGGGGGGGGCAAUUAACGCGCGUUAUCCGGUGAUGAUGAGCUAAUGGAGAACAACCGCGAUACCCGCGUAUCUCCCCGGAAGAGCGCACGAUCGGCACGCAAAUCGGAUAUGGUGGUAUUUGAAAGAAAGAUAAUCCUAGCCAAAUAAAAAUACAGCUGAAACCGAAGCAAGUCUGAACUUUUCAUAUUACUCGUCAAUUUGUGCUGUGUUCUCUACGUGUUAUUUGAGCAGCGCAAUCAAAAGGGACACGUUGUGCCAAGCGCCAGUCCAUCGGACAUGGCGGACAAAUAAUUGACAAAGUUUGACUAAGCUUCAUUCACUAAGAUACGGUCAAAUCGAUAAAAAUAGAAUGACGAAAAGGUCAUGAUAAAAGUCGAUUAGCUAUCGAAUUGUCUCUCUCCGUAGUGUUUGCUGCGACUGCGCAGCGACGACCCGUAUAUAGAAUGACAGUGGUGUGAGAAUUAUGAGUGGAGGCGGUGAAAAGACGAAAUGAGAAAACGGACGAGAACGAAGGAUGUUGGAAAAUACAUAAAUGUGAGGAUACCCUGACCCACGAGUGUUGAGCAAGGAUCGUCGUGAUCAAUCGUGCCGAUUACCGAAGGUGGGCGCACGGUCGUCGUAGUGGCACCGGCUACGCACGGCAAAACAUGAAUGACAGCGAGAUCUAUUUAUUGAGCUUGGAAGAAGAGGUACACGCAUUAAACAACGAUCUCGAUAGGAGUUUCUACAACGCGAGCUACCUCUCCGAGUUCAAUCACACCUCUCUGAGUAUCUGGGAUCUUACUACGGAUCGUAUCGGUCUCGGGAUCCUUCUGUUGCUCUUUUCCGUAGCCACCGUCUUCGGCAACUCGCUAGUGAUCCUCGCGGUGUUCCGCGAGAGGCAUCUCCACACGGCCACGAAUUACUUCGUGACUUCGUUGGCCUGCGCCGAUUGUCUAGUAGGACUGGUGGUGAUGCCCAUCAGUGCGCUGUACGAAGUGCUGGAGAACCGUUGGCUGUUCACGACCGACUGGUGCGACGUCUGGCGCUCGCUGGACGUUCUCUUCUCCACCGCGUCGAUCCUGAACCUGUGCGUCAUCAGUCUGGAUCGUUACUGGGCGAUCACCGAUCCUUUCACGUAUCCGACCCGGAUGAGCAGGAGACGCGCGGCUGUCUGGAUCGCCGCCGUGUGGAUCUGCUCGAGCGCGAUCUCCUUUCCCGCGAUAGCGUGGUGGCGCGCCGUGCGUACCGAGCAAGUACCGGAGGACAAGUGCCCGUUCACGGAGAACCUCGGUUACUUGAUAUUCUCGUCGACAAUCAGCUUCUACCUGCCGCUCUUCGUCAUGGUAUUCACGUAUUACAGGAUCUACCGUGCCGCCGUCAUACAGACGAGGAGCCUGAAACUCGGCACGAAGCAAGUGAUGAUGGCUUCGGGCGAGCUUGAACUCACCUUGAGGAUACAUCGUGGCGGUGUAUCCUCGACCACCAACACCGACGCCCGGCAUCUCUUCCGCACCGCCUCGAGCACGCCCGAGGACCUCCAGGACCUCGAGGAACCACUAACGGUUCCUCUGCACAACAACGGUCUCACGAGGGUGCCGUCCGUUAGGAUCAACAACAAGCAACACCUAAGCAAGAAUUUCUCGCUCUCGCGCAAGCUUGCCAAGUUCGCCAAGGAGAAAAAAGCGGCGAAGACCCUCGGCAUUGUUAUGGGUGUCUUUAUUAUCUGCUGGUUACCGUUCUUCGUUGUGAAUCUAUGGUCUGGAUUCUGCACGAGGUGCAUAUGGCAGGAAGAGAUCGUGUCGGCGGCCGUCACCUGGCUCGGCUGGAUCAACAGCGGGAUGAAUCCCGUGAUAUACGCUUGCUGGAGCAGGGACUUUCGUAGAGCUUUCGUCAGAAUUCUAUGCUAUUGUUGUCCGAGAAAGGUGAAACGGCGAUAUCAACCAGCAUUCAGGUGUAAACCAAGUCAGAAAUUCGCAUCCGGACGGUACUACUCCGCGUAUUCGCUCCAUCACGUGCGAAGGAGCCGGGAAAAUUCCGGCGAGCAAACCUACAUUUAACAACGGAAUAUCACCCUGCUCUCUUUUUGUUUGCGUCGCUUUCCCCUCGUUCCUAAUGCGGCACAGACGAAGCGGCGCGGGCGUUUAAUCUGACAGUUGCUUUCCAAGCAAAUCACGAAUCCCCGUAUCCGUCUUCCAAGGCCCUUGCGUAUCAACGAACGCCAACGCAUAUCAACGCAUUCCCGUAAAAUGUAAAAGCUCUCGUAUAUUUCCGGAAUGGGAACAAGUGGGCAGGCGAGCAACGUUAGCUAUAGCAGCGUCAGCCAAAGCAGCGACGGCGGCGUGUGCGCGACCGGAAGUGGACUCCCCAGUGGCGGUAUGUGACGUCACACGACGGCCC